GCCUAGGUGGCGUAAUGGUUAACGCUUCUGCCUAGUAAGCAGAAGAGCCGGGUUCGAAUCCCGACUUUGGUA